GCAUUGGUGGUUCAGUGGUAGAAUUCUCACCUUCCACGCAGAGGACCCAAGUUCAAUUCUUAAUCAAUGUG
rnacentral:tRNA from 1 species